rnacentral:rRNA from 1 species
UACGGAGGGUGCAAGCGUUAAUCGGAAUUACUGGGCGUAAAGGGUGCGUAGGUGGAACAAUAAGUUAUCUGUGAAAUCCCUGGGCUUAACCUAGGCAGGUCAGAUAAGACUGUUGAACUAGAGUAUGGUAGAGGGUAGUGGAAUUUCCGGUGUAGCGGUGAAAUGCGUAGAGAUCGGAAGGAACACCAGUGGCGAAGGCGGCUACCUGGACCAAUACUGACACUGAGGCACGAAAGCGUGGGGAGCAAACAGG